rnacentral:rRNA from 1 species
AACGAACGCUGGCGGCAGGCCUAACACAUGCAAGUCGAGCGCCCGGAUUUAUCCGGGAGCGGCGCACGGGUGAGUAACGCGUGGGAACAUGCCCUGAAGUACGGAACAACCUGGGGAAACCUUGGCUAAUACCGUAUACGCCCUGAGGGGGAAAGAUUUAUCGCUUUGGGAUUGGCCCGCGUUGGAUUAGCUGGUUGGUGUGGUAACGGCGCACCAAGGCGACGAUCCAUAACUGGUCUGAGAGGAUGACCAGUCACACUGGGACUGAGACACGGCCCAGACUCCUACGGGAGGCAGCAGUGGGGAAUAUUGGACAAUGGGCGAAAGCCUGAUCCAGCCAUGCCGCGUGAGUGAAGAAGGCCUUCGGGUUGUAAAGCUCUUUCAGCGGGGACGAUGAUGACGGUACCCGCAGAAGAAGCCCCGGCUAACUUCGUGCCAGCCGCCGCCGUAA